UAGGUUUUACGCCGUCGCGGCUAACCUCAAUCGUGAAUUUCUGUUUGACAGCUCGCGUGCACUGUUUACAUAGACUUAGUCGCGUUCGAACGGAAAGUGCUGGGUAUCUUUUUUAUUCAAAAUCGGCUGAAAUUACAAAAGUCAAGUGGAAACCGAAGGCGAAGUGGGCGGCAAACUUGUCUACAUGCUCGCUGAACCCGAACGAAAACGAAGCCGUGCUGCUGACGGAGAUGGUCAAGCAAUGCCUUGUUCCGACGCUCUGCCUGGAAUGACCGAUCACCAAGGACAUGCAAGUCCCAGAAAACUACCGCACCGUCUUCCGACCGCUUAUGCUCCAGCUCCAGCUCCCGAGGACAUGGUCAAGUUCAAUCUCGAGCGCUGCAACCUCGCCCUCCUCCACCAGCAGAACACCGGCAGACUCUUCAUCGUCCUGUUUGAGAAGAAAAAGAAGCUGCUCUCGGAGGUUUUCCGUUGUCGAUUCUUGACGUGGGCCUGACGGAAAAGGACAGUUUGUCCUUGGUUCAAAUUAGUACGAACUGGUAGUUCGGUUCAACAAACAACUGGUCUCCGGCACCUUGCAACGAAGGUGCUUCAAUCUACAACUAGAGAAGUGAUCCUGGUUUCGAGUUUAAUUGAUGGACAGUGGAAUUUUAAAAUCCUGUUUGGCUUUUAUUUUAAUCAGACGUUAUUAUUUCUGACAUAUAAAAUCAAACUUGUUUUUUA